UUUUGUUGCAGCUAUUUCUAAUAAUUAUAGCAAAUUGCAAUCACGGUUGUUUCCAGACAUUCCUUUUGGAUAAGACCGCGAAAUAGCUGAACCUGAUGUAGAAUUCAAAAGGCUGUAAAGGGUGAAAUUAUACAGCAAAGGAAUCUCACUGAAAGAUGGCUAGGAUACGAGCAAGCUAAUGAGACUUCCUUACGUAGAUUAGAGCUAAUUUAACACUCGGCCUGUGACUUUUUUUCAGCAUUUUGAGAGAGCACACUCCGUCUAUUAAUAACUGUAAUGCAAUAUGGAAUUUUUAAAGUUUCACUUGCGCGGGUGACAUACGAUUUCGAACAAACCACAAAAAUUUCUGACAUAGCUGAACGCCGAAAUUUUUAAUUAUCA